rnacentral:rRNA from 1 species
ACGUGAGCAAACCCUGCCCCCUCACUCUGGGAUAAGCGCUGGAAACGGCGUCUAAUACUGGAUACGAGUUGGAACCGCAUGGUUACCAACUGGAAAGAUUUUUGGUGGGGGAUGGGCUCGCGGCCUAUCAGCUUGUUGGUGAGGUAAUGGCUCACCAAGGCGUCGACGGGUAGCCGGCCUGAGAGGGUGACCGGCCACACUGGGACUGAGACACGGCCCAGACUCCUACGGGAGGCAGCAGUGGGGAAUAUUGCACAAUGGGCGGAAGCCUGAUGCAGCAACGCCGCGUGAGGGAUGACGGCCUUCGGGUUGUAAACCUCUUUUAGCAGGGAAGAAGCGAGAGUGACGGUACCUGCAGAAAAAGCACCGGCUAACUACGUGC